rnacentral:rRNA from 1 species
UGAUGGAGCACGCCGCGUGAACGAUGAAGGCUUUCGGGUCGUAAAGUUCUGUUGUAAGGGAAGAACAAGUGCCGCAGGCAAUGGCGGCACCUUGACGGUACCUUGCGAGAAAGCCACGGCUAACUACGUGCCAGCAGCCGCGGUAAUACGUAGGUGGCAAGCGUUGUCCGGAAUUAUUGGGCGUAAAGCGCGCGCAGGCGGCCUCUUAAGUCUGAUGUGAAAGCCCCCGGCUCAACCGGGGAGGGCCAUUGGAAACUGGGAGGCUUGAGUAUAGGAGAGAAGAGUGGAAUUCCACGUGUAGCGGUGAAAUGCGUAGAGAUGUGGAGGAACACCAGUGGCGAAGGCGACUCUUUGGCCUAUAACUGACGCUGAGGCGCGAAAGCGUGGGGAGCAAACAGGAUUAGAUACCCCC